rnacentral:rRNA from 1 species
GAGUUUGAUCUUGGCUCAGAUUGAACGCUGGCGGCAGGCCUAACACAUGCAAGUCGAGCGGAUGACGGGAGCUUGCUCCUUGAUUCAGCGGCGGACGGGUGAGUAAUGCCUAGGAAUCUGCCUGGUAGUGGGGGACAACGUUUCGAAAGGAACGCUAAUACCGCAUACGUCCUACGGGAGAAAGCAGGGGACCUUCGGGCCUUGCGCUAUCAGAUGAGCCUAGGUCGGAUUAGCUAGUUGGUGGGGUAAUGGCUCACCAAGGCGACGAUCCGUAACUGGUCUGAGAGGAUGAUCAGUCACACUGGAACUGAGACACGGUCCAGACUCCACGGGAGCAGCAGUGGGAAUAUUGGACAAUGGGCGAAAGCCUGAUCCAGCCAUGCCGCGUGUGUGAAGAGGGUCUUCGGAUUGUAAAGC